AUUGAACGCUGGCGGCAGGCCUAACACAUGCAAGUCGAGCGGAGCGGCGGAAGGGGGAGUAAUGCCUAGGAAUCUGCACGGGAGUGGGGGAUCACGUACGGGAGCGGGCGCUAAUACCGCAGACUUUAAGAUGAGCCUCGGUGGGAUUAGCUAGUUGGUGGGGUAAAGGCCUACCAAGGCGACGAUCCCUAGCCGGCCUGAGAGGAUGACCAGCCACACUGGAACUGCGACACGGCCCAGACUCCUACGGGAGGCAGCAGUGGGGAAUAUUGCACAAUGGGCGCAAGCCUGAUGCAGCCAUGCCGCGUGUAUGAAGAAGGUCUUCGGGUUGUAAAGUACUUUCAGCGGGGAGGCGUUACCCGCAGAAGAAGCACCGGCUAACUCCGUGCCAGCAGCCGCGGUAAUUC
rnacentral:rRNA from 1 species